rnacentral:tRNA from 1 species
GAGCUUGUCUGGUGAGAAUUAGUACUGCUAAUUCUUUAUUCCCGUGGUUCAAUUCCACGGCCCGCUCA